GACGAACGCUGGCGGCGUGCUUAACACAUGCAAGUCGAACGGAAAGGCCCUUCGGGGUGCUCGAGUGGCGAACGGGUGAGUAACACGUGGGUGAUCUGCCCUGCACUUUGGGAUAAGCAUGGGAAACUGGGUCUAAUACCGAGUAUGAUCAUCGGCUUAAUGGUCGGUGGUGGACAGCUUUUGCGGUGUGGGAUGGGCCCGCGGCCUAUCAGCUUGGUGGUGGGGUAAUGGCCUACCAAGGCGACGACGGGUAGCCGGCCUGAGAGGGUGACCGUCCACACUGGUACUGGGGUACGGCCCAGACUCCUACGGGAGGCAGCAGUGGGGAAUAUUGCACAAUGGGCGCAAGCCUGAUGCAGCGACGCCGCGUGAGGGAUGACGGCCUUCGGGUUGUAAACCUCUUUCAGCACAGACGAAGCGCAAGUGACGGUAUGUGCAGAAGAAGGACCGGCCAACUACGUGCCAGCCGCCGCGGUAAUAC
rnacentral:rRNA from 1 species